rnacentral:rRNA from 1 species
UACCAGCUCUUCGAGUGGUGUGGAUGUUUAUUGGGCCUAAAGCAUCCGUAGCUGGCUGGGCAAGUCCCCUGUUAAAUCCACCGAUUUAAUCGUUGGAGUGCGGGGGAUACUGUUCGGCUAGGGGACGGGAGAGGCAGACGGUAUUUUCGGGGUAGGGGUGAAAUCCUAUAAUCCCGGGAAGACCACCAGUGGCGAAGGCUGUCUGCUAGAACGCGCCCGACGGUGAGGGAUGAAAGCUGGGGGAGCGAACCGGAUUAGAUACCCGGGUAGUCCCAGCUGUAAACGAUGCAGGCUAGGUGUUUGGGCGGCCACGUGCCGCUCUAGUGCCGCAGGGAAGCCGUUAAGCUCGCCGCCUGGGGAGUACGGCCGCAAGGCUGAAACUUAAAGGAAUUGGCGGGGAGCACCACAAGGCGUGAAGCUUGCGGUUC